GACGAACGCUGGCGGCGUGCUUAACACAUGCAAGUCGAACGGAAAGGCCCUGCUUUUGUGGGGUGCUCGAGUGGCGAACGGGUGAGUAACACGUGAGUAACCUGCCCUUGACUUUGGGAUAACUUCAGGAAACUGGGGCUAAUACCGGAUAGGAGCUCCUGCUCCAUGGUGGGGGUUGGAAAGUUUCGGCGGUUGGGGAUGGACUCGCGGCUUAUCAGCUUGUUGGUGGGGUAGUGGCUUACCAAGGCUUUGACGGGUAGCCGGCCUGGGAGGGUGACCGGCCACAUUGGGACUGAGAUACGGACCAGACUCCUACGGGAGGCAGCAGUGGGGAAUAUUGCACAAUGGGCGGAAGCCUGAUGCAGCAACGCCGCGUGCGGGAUGACGGCCUUCGGGUUGUAAACCGCUUUCGCCUGUGACGAAGCGUGAGUGACGGUAAUGGGUAAAGAAGCACCGGCUAACUACGUG
rnacentral:rRNA from 1 species